GGAGCUGCCACCAGGCAACUACUCCGAGGAGCUGCUGGAACUGCCGGCUGCUGAGUACUCUGAGGAGCCUGAGGUCCCAUAAACGAUGAAGCCCUAUGAACAGGAGCUGUAGUCAUGGACGCAGGACCCCAAGCAUAGAACAGUUAGUCCCUGCCCUGAAGAGCAUACAAUCUGAAUAGACAGAAGUGACACAAGGUGAAGGAAGAGGUAGAGCAGAAGAAACUAAGUGAUGGCAAGCAGCAUGAGGAAGAAGUAUCCCCUCACAUGUCCAUUCUUUAAAAUUUCCACCCUCAUCUUGCUUUGAGUCCAUCAGUGCUGUUUCAUAAUUGGCCUUGGGGACC